rnacentral:tRNA from 1 species
GCCCCGGUGGUAUAGCCAGGCCAAAUGUUAUAGGCUAGGUAUCUCGGCCUUUCGAGCCGAGGAUCCCGGGUUCAAAUCCCGGCCGGGGCA